CUUGCAGUGUCUUCUCUCCAGCAACGUUGAGUUCCCAGCCCAACUUCAGCCAUGAAGAUUCUGUACCUGCUCUUUGCUGUCUUUUUCCUGGUGCUGCAAAGCUCUCCAGGAGCAGCCUUUGACUGGGCACAGGCACAGGAAGAUAAUUGGGUUGACUUGGCCUUGUCUCAGUGAAUUGCAAUUUCAACUAAUGGGAAAUGCCCGUCAUGCUGCAAUCACAGCCCUUGUUUACACUGAUAUGUGAAUGAAAAUGAAGACACUUUGUGCAGGAAUCACACAGGGCAUCAUUAGCCCCCGUGAUUGUCGUCGUGCUGGAGGCAUCUGCCGCCGUACAUGUCCGUCCAAUUACAGACGAAUCGGAAGUUGUGGUUUUGGGCUGAGUUGCUGUAAAAGGAGAAGGAGAGAGUGAGUGAUGGCAG